AAAACAAAAUAAAUACGUAACGUGCAAUCAAAAUACUAUUGCAAUAGAAAUAUCCCUUAGAUCCGACAUAAAAAACCCAUACGUGAAUAUAAAAACAAUAGAAUUGCAAAUCAGUAUAAAGAAAUGUAACAUUGAAGUUCGCUUUAUAUAAAUCACUAUGGUCCAGAGAAAAAAAAAAGGAAAAAAAAGUAUUUUGAAGACUUUCCUCAAGUUUUGUAUCA